UACGGGGGGAGCAAGCGUUGUUCGGAUUUACUGGGCGUAAAGGGAGCGUAGGCGGACAUUUAAGUCAGGGGUGAAAUCCCAGAGCUCAACUCUGGAACUGCCUUUGAUACUGGGUGUCUUGAGUGUGAGAGAGGUAUGUGGAACUCCGAGUGUAGAGGUGAAAUUCGUAGAUAUUCGGAAGAACACCGGUGGCGAAGGCGGCUCACUGGCCCGAUACUGACGCUGAGGCACGAAAGCGUGGGGAGCAAACAGG
rnacentral:rRNA from 1 species